ACGCUCGACACCUACGGGGGGCAGCAGUGGGGAAUAUUGCACAAUGGGGGAAACCCUGAUGCAGCGACGCCGCGUGGAGGAAGAAGGUCUUCGGAUUGUAAACUCCUGUUGUUGGGGAAAAAGAGGAUGGUACCCAACAAGGAAGUGACGGCUAACUACGUCNCNANCGCCGGAGUAUNGNGGCGNGNGAGAG
rnacentral:rRNA from 1 species